rnacentral:lncRNA from 1 species
CCCUUCCCUACCCACACAUCCGCCCUAGGCCACGCCCCUUCCCCCCAGGGCCUCCUUCCGGCGCAAACCCCACCCCUUCCGGCGCUCUCCGCCAAUCCCGUCAUUCCUCCCCUCGCCGACGGUGCCGAUGGCGGCGGCGCUGCGCGCUCCGAGCGCCGCCGUCGGGGCCUUCGGGGUCGUCGUCGUCCGCCGGGACGGCGCCGGAGGGGAACGAGGAGUUGGAGGAGGAGGGGGGGCUCGGCGAAGGAGACGGAGGGGACGCCGCCAUCGAGGAUCCGGAACUGGAGGCCAUCAAAGCCCGCGUGCGAGAGAUGGAGGAGGAGGCAGAAAAGCUCAAAGAGCUCCAAAACGAAGUGGAGAAACAGAUGAAUAUGAGCCCCCCCCCGGGCAACGGUGGGCC